rnacentral:rRNA from 1 species
GGGGAAUAUUGCACAAUGGAGGGAACUCUGAUGCAGCGACGCCGCGUGAACGAAGAAGGCUUUCGAGUCGUAAAGUUCUUUUAUAUGGGAAGAUAAUGACGGUACCAUAAGAAAAAGCCCCGGCUAACUACGUGCCAGCAGCCGCGGUAAUACGUAGGGGGCUAGCGUUGUCCGGAAUCACUGGGCGUAAAGGGUUCGCAGGCGGAAAUGCAAGUCAGAUGUAAAAGGCAGUAGCUUAACUACUGUAAGCAUUUGAAACUGCAUAUCUUGAGAAGAGUAGAGGUAAGUGGAAUUUUUAGUGUAGCGGUGAAAUGCGUAGAUAUUAAAAAGAAUACCGGUGGCGAAGGCGACUUACUGGGCUCAUUCUGACGCUGAGGAACGAAAGCGUGGGUAGCAAACAGGAUUAGAUACCCUGGUAGUCCACGCUGUAAACGAUGAGUGCUAGGUGUCGGCGAAUGUCGGUGCCGCAGUUAACACAAUAAGCACUCCGCCUGGGGAGUACGUGCGCGAGCAUG